rnacentral:pre_miRNA from 16 species
CGCCGUCUACCCGUAGCUCCUAUCCAUGUUGAUAAGUUAUCACAAUGCCAACAUGGAAGCAGGUACUGGUGUACGGUGU